rnacentral:RNase_P_RNA from 1 species
GUAGGCGAUCAGGCGAUCGCCGGUGCUCGAGCUUUCGGGUUCGAGCGCGGGAGGAAAGUCCGAGCUCCGCAGGGCAAGAUGCCGGGUAACGCCCGGUGAGGGUGACCUCGAGGAAAGUGCAACAGAAAGCAAACCGCCGGCCACGAAGGGCUUCGGUCACUCGUCGCCGGUAAGGGUGAAAAGGUGGAGUAAGAGCCCACCGCGGUCUCGGUAACGAGGCCGGCUAGGUAAACCCCAUCUGGAGCAAGGUCACAUAGGGAGGCGAUCGCGCUCGCUCGUCGAGCGCGGAAAGGGCGGCCCGCCCGAGCCUCCGGGUAGACUGCUGGAGGCGUGCGGUAACGCGCGCCCUAGAGGAAUGACCGCCGCCGAGGUGAGGGCGACCGAGCCUCGGAACAGAACUCGGCUUACGAACGCCUGCGACC